AGUGAACGCUGGCGGUAGGCCUAACACAUGCAAGUCGAACGGCAGCACAGUAAGAGCUUGCUCUUACGGGUGGCGAGUGGCGGACGGGUGAGGAAUACAUCGGAAUCUACUUUUUCGUGGGGGAUAACGUAGGGAAACUUACGCUAAUACCGCAUACGACCUACGGGUGGAAGCAGGGGAUCUUCGGACCUUGCGCGAUUGAAUGAGCCGAUGUCGGAUUAGCUAGUUGGCGGGGUAAAGGCCCACCAAGGCGACGAUCCGUAGCUGGUCUGAGAGGAUGAUCAGCCACACUGGAACUGAGACACGGUCCAGACUCCUACGGGAGGCAGCAGUGGGGAAUGUUGGACAAUGGGCGCAAGCCUGAUCCAGCCAUACCGCGUGGGUGAAGAAGGCCUUCGGGUUGUAAAGCCCUUUUGUUGGGAAAGAAAAGCAGCAGGUUAAUACCCCGCUGUUCUGACGGUACCCAAAGAAUAAGCACCGGCUAACUUCGUG
rnacentral:rRNA from 1 species